rnacentral:tRNA from 1 species
UGCCCUCUACUGGAAUCGAACCAGUGACCUCAUCAUCGCAUACUCGUAGAACUGAGUCCCACAGUGGAAUGAAAGCCGCAUACUAGUGAUGCGCUCUACCACUGAGCUAAGAGGGC